CUAUACACCAAAACUGUUUAGAUAACCUAAAGUUGUUUUGGUGACUAUAGUGUCCCUCUAAUCCAUAAUUAAUAAACUGAGCUUUUUUAUUUUUCUAUUUUAGCUUAACAUGUGCAGUUGCCUUGGUAAUUCUCAACAAUUCCUGGUUAAAUAAAAAAACCUGAGCUAAACUAAUGUGUAAAGCAAUAUUGACACAUUGUUUGAAAU